CCUACGGGAGGCAGCAGUGAGGAAUAUUGAGCAAUGGGCGCAAGCCUGACUCAGCAACGCCGCGUGGGCGAUGAAGGCCUUCGGGUUGUAAAGCCCUUUUCUGGGGGACGAGGAAGGACGGUACCCCAGGAAUAAGUCACGGCUAACUACGUGCCAGCAGCCGCGGUAACACGUAGGUGGCGAGCGUUAUCCGGAUUCACUGGGCGUAAAGCGCGUGCAGGCGGUUCCGUAAGUCGGACGUGAAAGCUCCUGGCUUAACUGGGAGAGGCCGUUCGAUACUGCGGGACUGGAGGUCGGGAGAGGGACGUGGAAUUCCCGGUGUAGUGGUGAAAUGCGUAGAUAUGGGGAGGAACACCGGUGGCGAAGGCGGCCCUCGGGACUAAUACUGACGCUGAGGCGCGAAAGCUGGGGGAGCAAACGGGAUUAGAUCCCCUGGUAGU
rnacentral:rRNA from 1 species